UGGGGAUCAUCUUUACAUUAAACAGCACCCCACCGCCAUAUUGAAAUGUUGGCACUCCCCGCGGUCUUUAAAAAACAUUGAGAAAACUAGAUCUUGUCCUAUUAGAAAGACUCUCUGAAGGAAAUUAAAAGCUAGGAGAAACGGGCUGUAUCUAAAUUUACGUGGAUAAUUACUAGAAAAGUUGUCUACUGGAAUCAGAGCUUUGAUCUAAUUUCUUCUAUUUCCAAAAGGAAUAUACUCUGCUUCUCAGCUGGUCUGGACCAGAUUUGCUAAAACAGAUGAAGAGGACCCUUGAGAUCCCUAGUGUCAACAGACAGAACACCGAAGCUUUGAUCUCAACGCAGAGACUGUCAUCAGUCACUGUACUUUGGAGAUGUUCCCCUUGGAAGCCCAUCAACAAAUUGGAAAAUUUACAGGAUUCUAAGAGCUAGAAAAGUUUUCCUACCUGUAGGUUGACCAACUCUGGUUCCAGGGAUAAUCUUCUCCCCCACCAGCAAGACAGCUGACUGCAACAAUAUAAGUGACCCCUGAUAUAGGAAAAUGGGUGAGACACUUACUGGCUCUCUUUUUCAGUAUGUUCAUAAAACCUGCUAUAAUUCUUAAUAAAAAUUCAGGCGGCUUAUGAGCA
rnacentral:lncRNA from 1 species